rnacentral:rRNA from 1 species
CAAUAAGCGGAGGAAAAGAAACCAACAGGGAUUGCCUCAGUAACGGCGAGUGAAGCGGCAACAGCUCAAAUUUGAAAUCUGGCCCCAGGCCCGAGUUGUAAUUUGCAGAGGAUGCUUUUGGCAAGGUGCCUUCCGAGUUCCCUGGAACGGGACGCCAUAGAGGGUGAGAGCCCCGUCUGGUCGGACACCGAGCCUCUGUAAAGCUCCUUCGACGAGUCGAGUAGUUUGGGAAUGCUGCUCAAAAUGGGAGGUAUAUGUCUUCUAAAGCUAAAUACCGGCCAGAGACCGAUAGCGCACAAGUAGAGUGAUCGAAAGAUGAAAAGCACUUUGAAAAGAGAGUUAAAUAGCACGUGAAAUUGUUGAAAGGGAAGCGUUUAUGACCAGACUUGGCCCGGUUGAUCAUCCAGCGUUCUCGCUGGUGCACUCUGCCGGUCCAGGCCAGCAUCAGUUCGUCGCGGGGGAUAAAGGUUUCGGGAAUGUGGCUCCUCCGGGAGUGUUAUAGCCCGUUGCGUAAUACCCUGCGGUGGACUGAGGUCCGCGCUCUGCAAGGAUGCUGGCGUAAUGGUCAUCAACGACCCGUCUUGAAACACGGACCAAGGAGUCGUCUUCGUAUGCGAGUGUUCGGGUGUAAAACCCCUACGCGUAAUGAAAGUGAACGCAGGUGAGAGCUUCGGCGCAUCAUCGACCGAUCCUGAUGUUCUCGGAUGGAUUUGAGUAAGAGCAUACGGGGCCGGACCCGAAAGAAGGUGAACUAUGCCUGUAUAGGGUGAAGCCAGAGGAAACUCUGGUGGAGGCUCGCAGCGGUUCUGACGUGCAAAUCGAUCGUCAAAUAUGGGCA